UACAGGGGGUGCAACGUUGCUCGGAAUUAUUGGGCGUAAAGGCGCGCGUAGGCGGCCGCUUAAGUCGGAUGUGAAAGCCCUGGCUCAACUGGGGAAGUGCACCCGAAACUGAGUGGCUUGAGUACUAAAGAGGGUCGGCGGAAUUCCCGGUGUAGAGGUGAAAUUCGUAGAUAUCGGGAGGAACACCGGUGGCGAAGGCGG
rnacentral:rRNA from 1 species